rnacentral:rRNA from 1 species
UACGAAGGGGGCUAGCGUUGCUCGGAAUCACUGGGCGUAAAGCGCACGUAGGCGGCUUCUUAAGUCAGGGGUGAAAUCCUGGAGCUCAACUCCAGAACUGCCUUUGAUACUGAGGAGCUUGAGUCCGGGAGAGGUGAGUGGAACUGCGAGUGUAGAGGUGAAAUUCGUAGAUAUUCGCAAGAACACCAGUGGCGAAGGCGGCUCACUGGCCCGAUACUGACACUGAGGCACGAAGGCCAGGGGAGCAACGGG